UACGGAGGGUGCAAGUGUUAUUCGGAAUCACUGGGCGUAAAGAGCACGUAGGCGGAUAGGCAAAUCAGAUGUGAAAUCCCGGAGCUCAACUCCGGAACUGCAUUUGAUACUGCCUGUCUUGAGUGAGGUAGAGGGGAGUGGAAUUCCCGGUGUAGAGGUGAAAUUCGUAGAUAUCGGGAGGAACACCAGAGGCGAAGGCGACUCCCUGGGCCUCUACUGACGCUGAGGUGCGAAAGCGUGGGGAGCAAACAGGAUUAGAUA
rnacentral:rRNA from 1 species